GCAACCAAAUAACAAUGCAGACAUUGUAAGUGGAUCCUGGAAUUCUCUAGCAGAAUGUAAGCCCUUUUAGGUUUGUUGAAUUGUGAACUGGGCUCCUUCACCUACCUUAACUCACAGGAGAGCACAGGAUCCGGAGAAGCCUGCCUGACCCGUCGCCUUCAGUCUUGGAGAUGAUGUGGAGGAGGAGCAGGAGAAAGCUGAGCAGAGUGUUGAGAGCAGGGAAUCUGGAGCCAGUCUGCUUAGUUUUCCUACCUGGCCCCACUACUCACUUGCUGCUGGUCUUGGAAAAAUUAUUCUUCACCUUCAGUUGCCUCAGUUUCAUAAUCUGCAAAAUGAUAAUACCUUCCUGAUUGUGUUGUUAUGAGGACUAAAAAAAAGCUUAAAAGAAAAUACACAUUUGAUCUACACUAUUAGGAUGGUGCUAAAUUUCAAAAGCAUUUUGUUGGUAUUUAGGACUCUGACCAGGGCUUCCCAGGUGGCUCAGUGGUAAAGAAUCUGCCUGCCAAUGCAGGAGACACAGGAGACACGGGUUUGGUCCCAGGGUUGGGAACGUCCCCUGGAGUAGGAAAUGGCAACCCACUCCAGUAUUCUUGCCUGGAAAAUUCCAUGGACAGAGGAGCCUGGCAGGGCGCCAGUCCACAGGGGUCACAAAAGAGUCAAACACAACUGAGCACACACACAGGAUUCUGACCACAUCUAAGUACAGAUAUUAUCAAUUACUAUACUAAUUCAUAGACAGCUGAAUAUUAAUUUGAACCACAGAACUAUUUUUGUUUCCCUCUCUCCUUUACAAAAUGAGAGUGUCCAGUCUUUCAUAUACAUUCACAGUAUUUUAGAACUCUCCCCUUCCCAUUUAUUCCAUUCUUUUCUGUCUGGCAUUCACAUUUUAAUUAUGGUUGUCCUGUGACCUUUUAUCCUCCAUAUUGAUUGGAUUCUUAUCCUGGCCUUAAAUUUCCCUCUUUCUUUUUGCUUAGCAGUCAGUGUCAUCAGCAGAUAAUGGAAAGUCUACUCAGACACAAUGAGACAGACAGGAAGAACAGGAUACAAGAGCCACAGGCCAGUGUACAGAGAAGAUGUUGGCAACCAGAGGAAAAGGGAGUAUCUGGAGAGGCAGAUAGGGAACACAGCCAGAAACAUUCAACUGUCUGCAGCAGUGCCUGCUGUGUUAGGCAGAACAGGGAUGCCAAACAGAGGGUUUUUCCCUCGUUCAGGACUGACGGUAGAGCCUCAAAAAGAGUAAGACUGGAGCCGGGAAACGAACCUGCUGAACACUGUGACGGGUCCAUCGGAGUGCGGCUGCAGGAGCCCGGGAGGGGACCAGAAUCGGUCCCCAUGCGCACUGGGACAGUCUCGGUUCUUUGUUGAAUAAAUACAAGAAAAUGCGGCGGCGGCCAAGUGUGUUGGUGGGGGAAUACGUUGAGGCGUUUAUAUGCAUAACUGUGCGUAAGAAAGAUCAUUAAUGAGGCGCUACAAACGCAGGACAACCCUGGGCACCGUGUCAUUGGCUUUUGUGUACUUGGAGGCGCGUGAGUGCCCUGCUCAGAGAUUCCUCUUUGUGUGAAACGGGGGAAACCAGAAGCUUGCAGCUACAACUGGGUUUUCAUUUCUUUCGAAUUCGCAGGCACUCAAAUACUCCCGCAUCAACACUCUCCCGCAUUUCCGCACCGACAAUCCUCGGACUUCAGUUACUUGUCCGUCCGUCGCCGACCUAGCGAGGAGCGACAAUGGCUCGGUGCGGACACCCGCAGCUCCCCGGGGCCAGAGCCAGGGGACGGCCCGGCGCGCUCCGCAGCUGCGCGCUGAGCCCAGCCGCCCGCCCGUCAGCAAACGCGGGCACCAACCGUCGCGCGGCCCGGCCGUUGGGCGGGUGGUAAUUUCUGGGAAUGGGGCGGGGUCCGCAGGGUACAAGGCCGGACGUUUGCAGGCUAGCGGGAGGAGGAGGAGCGGGCUGCGCGGAGGGGCGCGGGCAGGGAGGGGCGUGGCUCCACGAUGGUCACUGGCCGGGGAGGCACCGGGGGCGGGGCCGGCGGCGCGCUCCUGCCCGCCCGCGCCCCCGCCUUCCACUUAGUCCUGGCUUGGGAGUGGAGAUGCCAGAGACCCGGGCUAGGAGUUUUCACAACCUCCAACCCUCAGUGACUGUCAGGCUGCCCGAGGGCCGAGCCGUCCCUGGAGAAGGGCGGGAGUCCAGAACUUGGGGAUGGGGUGACAGCCCGGGCCCGCGGGGGCCCUCAGAGAGGGGCAAGGGUGUGUGAGUGCGGUCCGGGCCGGCGGCCGCUGCAGGUGCACGCGCGGCCCCGCUGUCCCCACGCGCCGGCCCGCGUUUGGGAGCCCCCGCGCCAGUCCCGGGCCCUGGUCAGAGUCGGGAACAGGCUGGCGAAGCGCCGAGCAGGAAGCGGGACAAGUGGCGAGAGUCUUUACCUGAGAAGGCGGGUUUGAGAAGUUGGGGGGCUACAGGGCGGGCGAGAUUCGAGACGGCCACGGAAGCAUGUUGGGCGGGCUGGUGCGGGUCGAGGGCGGCGGGGCCCCGCGGGGUAUAAAUAGCCGGCCCGGGUUUGACAGGCGCGGCGGUGACUGGCGGUGCCGCCGUACCCCCCCUCCCCGCCGCCGCGUGGGGAGGGGAGGAGCGCUCUGAGCGGGCGGGGUGGGGGAGGCGGACUCGAGUGUCCUGGUGGCGGCGGCAGGAGGCCGAGGGGGAGGAGCCGAGGCGGGGGUGGAGGGCGGGGGCCACCAUUGCUCCCCGCGCCGGGCUCAGUGUCGCCGCCGUCGCCUCGGCGGUUGGGGGGUCGGUGGGGCGGCGCGGGCGGGGGGCUCUGCGCGGGGCGGCGCGCCGCUGUUUUGUCUCCUCCUCUCCCAGUGGAGCGGCUCGGGCAGCCGGGAGGCCCCGCUGCCCCCACGCGCCGGCCCGCGUUUGGGAGCCCC
rnacentral:lncRNA from 1 species